rfam:Glycine max cultivar Williams 82 chromosome 9, whole genome shotgun sequence.
UCACAAAAAAACUUUGACUACAACAUAUCACAUCUUGAUUGAACAUGAAAAGGUGCGUCCAAGAGCUAAUUCUAUUUUUUUUUCUGUUCACUGUCCAAUCAGAACGUGACACGUGACCGUCAACGUUC